GGAGGGGGAAGGGAAGAGGCACUUACGCCACUCUUAAAAGCAAAGGAAGAGCCUCAGCUAGCUAAGGAAAUGUAACCUCUCCUGGAGAGGUGCCAACCCGGGGGAUGGGUUCUCCUCUGAAAGAUGCUGGAGACAUCUUGUACAAGCUCCCCCCGCAAGCACAGAGUGGAAAAUGUCUCCAUCAGCUGCAAGAAGGGACUCAUGCAGAAGGAAGAAGGCAUGUCUCGUAAAGAAAGAGGGACUUUGCAUCAGAGCUGCGAGGGCAGUGCUGCUGCUUGCUCGGUGCUGGAGCAGGCUUGGGGCCGGCCGUGUUGGCACAGGUAGGCUGGGUUUUUCAGUCAUUUGUCGUUGUCUCUGUGCCCUGCUCCCUUGGGCUGCAGUUUUCUGUGGUCUUCCUUCAGCCAGUGGUUCCCACACUCUCAGCGCUUUUGUCAUGCAGAUGAGCCUUACUCUCCCUCUUCCUUGAACUGCGCUGUACUUGGAAAGCUCUGAGAAACGUUCAUCUCCUGAGGGCAAGAAAUUCCCAAAGCCCCCUGUUAGCAGCCUGUGAUCAAAUCCUGGCAGGCUCUUUGGCUCUCUGUCCUGCUUUCUCUCACUCACCUGACGUUUACCUAUACUUCCUAUUGGUGCUGCAGCAGCUGAAAGGCAUCUGGUCAGUGUCAGCAGUUAUCUGCCUUUUUUCUUCCUACUGUGCCUCGUUACGUAUGCUCACUAACUCAAUUCUGUUUUGAAAGGAAAUAUAUGAGAAAUUAACUGGCAAGGCAUCAGCAGCUGCCAGAACUCCAGGGAAAAAGAAAUCCAUGAGCUAAUGGAGUUAGUGGCAACGCAAACCUGGACGUGAGUACAAAUUGCUUCAGCACAUGUGAUCCUGAAAACAGAGAGAGGGUCAAAGGAACUGGGAAAGCUGGGAGGAAAGCUGGGGUAUUGCUCAUGGUGUAGCACAGCUGAGUAUUUCCACUGCCUCUUAUUUUUUUCUUUGCUUUCUUUCUUUUUUCUUUUUCUUUGGGGAGGAAGGGAGCAGAGUGGUGGGAGGAGGACACGUGACACAGAUGUUCCCUAGCACUGGGGAGACAUUUGUUGUUUUAAGACUAUCCAUCUCUGACC
rnacentral:lncRNA from 1 species